CAGGAGCUGAGGUCCCUUUCAGGCUGGGGAUUUGGUAGAGGGCAGCACACUUGCACCAGGGUUUUUCAGAAGAACAAAAGUGGACCACGCAUGCCUCUCCCAAGCUCAGAGACUGCAAAUGGACCUGUCACUUUGCCUGUUCCCACCUAGACCUCAUCCUGGAAGGCAGGGGUUCACAGACAACAGUUUUGGGAAGAUUCUGAGCAGAAGGACACAUGCCUGGGUGAUGCCACCCAGGGCUUUGGAGCUGCGUCUUGGUUCUGUUGCCAAGAUCUCGAUUUGGAAAGUGUUGAAGUCAUUACUAAGGGAUGGAACCAAAUAUUUGAAGCAGAACAAUGGAAGUUAAGAAUGCACCUGGGAAAUAAUAAAGCAGUGUCUAGCCUGGAUAAUUCAAGUUAAUAGAUCCACAAAUGAGCCGUCCUGAUCUCCGUCAAUCAGCAGGGGAACCUUUUUUCAAACUGUGAGCAUCCACACCGGGAAAGACCCAUUUAGAGCACAGAGCUGAUACCACUUGCUAUCCAAAGCAGGGAGACCCAGGGUGUCUUCAGCUCAAAU